UCGAGAAUCUUCGGCAAUGGGCGCAAGCCUGACCGAGCGACGCCGCGUGGAGGACGAAGGCCUUCGGGUUGUAAACUCCUGUCGAGGGGGAGGAAGGCGUAAGCUUGACCGAUCCCUGGAGGAAGCACGGGCUAAGUUCGUGCCAGCAGCCGCGGUAAGACGAACCGUGCGAACGUUAUUCGGAAUCACUGGGCUUAAAGCGCGUGUAGGCGGACCGCCGCGUCGGUUGCUGAAAUCCCCCGGCUCAACCGGGGAACGGGCAGCGAUACGGGCGGUCUGGAGGGAGGUAGGGGGGGCCGGAACUCACGGUGGAGCGGUGAAAUGCGUUGAGAUCGUGAGGAACGCCCGUGGCGAAAGCGGGCCCCUGGACCUUUACUGACGCUGAGACGCGAAAGCUAGGGGAGCGAACGG
rnacentral:rRNA from 1 species